rnacentral:rRNA from 1 species
AAUAGAUACCCAGGUAGUCCAUGCCGUAAACGUUGGGCACUAGGUGUGGGGCUCAUUCCACGAGUUCCGUGCCGCAGCAAACGCAUUAAGUGCCCCGCCUGGGGAGUACGGCCGCAAGGCUAAAACUCAAAGAAAUUGACGGGGGCCCGCACAAGCGGCGGAGCAUGCGGAUUAAUUCGAUGCAACGCGAAGAACCUUACCAAGGCUUGACAUACACCGGAAACUUCCAGAGAUGGUUGCCCCGCAAGGUCGGUGUACAGGUGGUGCAUGGUUGUCGUCAGCUCGUGUCGUGAGAUGUUGGGUUAAGUCCCGCAACGAGCGCAACCCUCGUCCUAUGUUGCCAGCGGGGUCAUGCCGGGGACUCAUAGGAGACUGCCGGGGUCAACUCGGAGGAAGGUGGGGAUGACGUCAAAUCAUCAUGCCCCUUAUGUCUUGGGCUUCACGCAUGCUACAAUGGCCGGUACAAAGGGCUGCGAUACCGCGAGGUGGAGCGAAUCCCAAAAAGCCGGUCUCAGUUCGGAUUGGGGUCUGCAACUCCG